rnacentral:rRNA from 1 species
UACGUAGGGUCCGAGCGUUGUCCGGAAUUAUUGGGCGUAAAGAGCUCGUAGGCGGUCUGUCGCGUCGGCUGUGAAAACUCAGGGCUCAACCCUGAGCCUGCAGUCGAUACGGGCAGACUAGAGUUCGGUAGGGGAGACUGGAAUUCCUGGUGUAGCGGUGAAAUGCGCAGAUAUCAGGAGGAACACCGGUGGCGAAGGCGGGUCUCUGGGCCACUACUGACGCUGAGAAGCGAAAGCAUGGGGAGCGAACAGG